AGUUUGAUCCUGGCUCAGCCUGAACGCUGGCGGCGUGGCUAAGACAUGCAAGUCGUACGGUGUAGCAAUACACAGUGGCGAACGGGUGAGUAAUGAAUCGCUAAUGUGCCCCGGACUCUGGGAUAGCUGACCGAAAGGUCAGGUAAUACCAGAUGACAUAACCUUUCCGCAUGGUGAGGUUCUCAAAGGUCCGCCGGUCUGGGAGCAGGCGAUUUCGUAUCAGCUAGUUGGUGAGGUAACGGCUCACCAAGGCGACGACGCGUAGCCGGACUGAGAGGUUGGCCGGCCACAUUGGGACUGAGACACUGCCCAGACUCCUACGGGGGGCUGCAGUAACGAAUCUUCCGCAAUGCACGAAAGUGUGACGGAGCGACGCCGCGUGUGGGACGAAGCCCUUCGGGGUGUAAACCACUGUCAGGGGUAAGAAAGUUCUGAUCUACCCCAGAGGAAGGCACGGCUAACUCUGUGCCAGCAGCCGCGGUAAGACAGAGGUGCCGAGCGUUAGGCGGAAUCACUGGGCUUAAAGCGUGUGUAGGCGGAUUUGUAAGUACCUUGUGAAAUCCCACGGCUC
rnacentral:rRNA from 1 species